rnacentral:rRNA from 1 species
GGAGUCUGGGCCGUGUCUCAGUCCCAAUGUGGCCGUUCAACCUCUCAGUCCGGCUACUGAUCGUCGACUUGGUGAGCCGUUACCUCACCAACUAUCUAAUCAGACGCGAGCCCAUCUCUGAGUGAUAAAUCUUUGAUAAUCAAAAGAUGCCUUUCAAUUAUAUUAUGAGGUAUUACCAUCCGUUUCCAGAAGCUAUCCCUCUCUCAGAGGCAGGUUGCUCACGUGUUACUCACCCGUCCGCCACUAAGAACUCUCAGUAAACCAAAAGUUCUCCGUUCGACUUGCAUGUGUUAGGCGUGCCGCCAGCGUUCGUCCUCGUAGCCAUGAUCAAACUACU